UUGUCCUGUGACUGCGUACCUUUUGUAUAAUGGGUCAGCGACUUAUAUUCAGUGGCAAGGUUAACCAUCUAGGGGAGCCGUAGGGAAACCGAGUCUUAACUGGGCGUUCAGUCUCUGGAUAUAGACCCGAAACCAGGUGAUCUAGCCAUGGGCAGGUUGAAGGUUGAGUAACAUCAACUGGAGGACCGAACCGACUAAUGUUGAAAAAUUAGCGGAUGACUUGUGGCUAGGGGUGAAAGGCCAAUCAAACCUGGAGAUAGCUGGUUCUCCCCGAAAGCUAUUUAGGUAGCGCCUCGGACGAAUACUACUGGGGGUAGAGCACUGUUAAGGCUAGGGGGUCAUCCCGACUUACCAACCCUUUGCAAACUCCGAAUACCAGUAAGUACUAUCCGGGAGACACACGGCGGGUGCUAACGUCCGUCGUGGAGAGGGAAACAACCCAGACCGCCAGCUAAGGUCCCAAAUUACUACUAAGUGGGAAACGAUGUGGGAAGGCUCAGACAGCCAGGAUGUUGGCUUAGAAGCAGCCAUCAUUUAAAGAAAGCGUAAUAGCUCACUGGUCGAGUCGGCCUGCGCGGAAGAUGUAACGGGGCUAAGUAGUAAACCGAAGCUGCGGCAAUGUGCUUUUGCACAUUGGGUAGGGGAGCGUUCUGUAAGCGGUUGAAGGUGUGUGGUAACGCAUGCUGGACGUAUCAGAAGUGCGAAUGCUGACAUGAGUAACGAUAAAGGGGGUGAAAAACCUCCUCGCC
rnacentral:rRNA from 1 species